rnacentral:misc_RNA from 1 species
GAAAUGCGAUAAGUAAUGUGAAUUGCAGAGUUUUGUGAAUCAUCGAAUCUUUGAACGCACAUUGCGCCCCUUGGUAUUCCAUGGGGCAUGCCUGUUCGAGCGUCAUUUCAACCCUCAAGCACUGCUUGGUGUUGGGCGUUUGUCCCGCCUACGCGCGUGGACUCGCCUCAAAGUCAUUGGCAGCUGUUCCCCUUCGGCUCGUAAGCGCAGCACAGUCGGCGCCCGGAGCUCUGGUGGGAUGGCGUCCAGCAAGCUAUAUUUUCAGGCUUGACCUCGGAUCAGGUAGGGAUACCCGCUGAACUUAAGC